UUGGCAUUUUUUAGUUGGUGUGGAAUUUGAUCCACUGAGAUGCAUUGUAUUACGAUGGCAGUACAUCACACUUCUGGAGGUACUUGGCCUGUUUCUAGUGAACAUGCUGAAUAGAAAAAUAAGAUCUCACAUGAACAAGGUGUCUUGUGUUUGAAAGUUGUGAAUGAUUAAGUCUAAUGUGUAAUUCAAUGAAAGUUAAAAGAAUGUGGGGGCCAAAAAUAGUGUUUUAGAUGAAAAAGGAUAUAAAUGAAGUGUUUGAGAUGAAGAACUGAGCUGCUUGCAGUGUCAGUGGUGACUUUAGGUUUUUCUACUGUUUUCUGAGAGAAAAACAAAUAUAGAAUUCUCCUGGGAGUUCCUCAGAACAGUUGCAUUGCAUUCUUUUCAUCAAAGAACCUAAUUUAAAAAAAAGUGGAGGGAGCUUCAGAACAGUGAGGAAGAAGGUAGCUGUAUUUUUAAAUUUGUUAUGCAGAAGAAAAUUAGCAAGGUUUGGACUCCCCAGGACAUUUAAUGUCACGUAAAGGAAAGGUAUUGUGUUAGCAAGAAGGAGAAACAACUUUCUGAACACUGCAGCUAUGAGGGUACUGGGAAAAUCCAAACCACUUCUAAUGGAACAUCAAGUCUGUCUUAAGUAGAAGAACAAAGAGGAGGAACAGUGAAUGCAUGCAACAGUUCCGGAAGUUAUUUCUAGCAAGACAGGUACAGGAAAACACUAAUAUGGUUACUGAAUUACCCUGGAAAAGUGAUGGAACAGCUCAUCCUGGAGGACAUGAGGUGAUCAGGAGUCGUCAGCACGGAUUCACCAAAGGGAAAUCAUGCUUGACCAAUCUGAUGAUAGCCUUCUAGGAUGGAACGACUGGCUGGGUAGAUGAGGGCAGGGCAGCGGAUGUUGUCUACCUGGACUUCAGCAAGGCUUUGGACACUGUCUCCUGUAACAUCCUCAAAGAUAAGCUCAAGAAGAGCGCAGGCUGGAUGAGCAGACAGUGAGGUGGACUGAGAGCUGGCUGAAUGGCAGGACUCAGGGGGUUGUGAUCUGUGGCGCAGAGUCUAGUUGGAGGCCAGUAACUAGUGGUGUAUCCUGGGGUCAGUACUGGCUCCAGUCUUGUUCAACGUAUUCAUCAGUGACGUGGAGGAAGGCA
rnacentral:lncRNA from 1 species